GUUAAGUGUUCAGUCUGUACUAUUUUAAGACAAGAGAACAACUGCUUUCUCCGUGUUGACAUUUUCAGAAAUCCCAGCUAGUCUGAAGAGGAUUUCUAAUCCAGAAUGUAAGAGCCACUUACUUUUUCUAAAGUUCUCCUUCUUAAAUGUGACUUGUAUUUAGGAAUCACUUUACAGUCUAGGAUUCUGUGUGUGUUUAUAUUUAGAAACCUGCCUGUGAUGGAAAGCUGUGGCCCUGGCUUCCUAUGGACAGAGCAGCCCCUUCUGGGUGGGGGUCUCCCCUGCACCGCAAGGACCAUGAAGAGCACUGUCGUCACCACCGUCCACUGCAGCCCUUUCCUCCGAGGUUGGCCCAUUCGGUGUCUCUCUCUUGUGUCAGUCAGUUUUCCCCCACUGCACCAGAACACUUAAGAAAAUGGUCUGAAAGGAAGAAAGGCUUAUUUGGGCUCCUGGCUCAGCCCGUGGUCAGCUACUCUCUCAUUUCUGGAAGUGUGCUGAGCCAGAACAUCAUGGCAGAGCAAAGCCACUCGGCUGAUAGUGGCCAGAGGCAGAAUGAGAGAGGAAUGCAGCAGCGAGGAGGAGAAGAGCAGGAGCGGGGGACAUGGCAUAGGCCACACUCACCCCCCCAGGCCACCUCACGGGUCUCCAUAAUCUCAGAUGGCAUUAAAUGUGACCUCGUCAGUGGAUUCCUCCUUCAUGAUCAAAUCGCUUUCCAAAAGCCCACCUCUGAACACUGUGACAGUGGUAAUCAAGCCUCAUACAUAUUAACCUUUUGGGGGUGACAGUCCAGAUGCUGAUCAUAGCACCUUCAUACCUGAGAUGGCUUUGCUAGAGGACCUAAGAAUAAAUUAACCUACAAAAUAUGUGUGGAGUAACUAUUAUGGUUAAUAUAUACUAUUUUAUGUAUGUCUAUUUAUCUCAUAGUUCAAAAUAUUAAUAUUUUCUGACUAAAAUUAAUGUAGGUUUUGAAACAGUAAGAAAUAUCAAUUGCAGGUAUCUUAUUUAAUACCAUGUAUCAAUGAGUGAAGCAGUACAUUUUAAAUAAAACAAUCAGCUUUUGUGUUAGGCUGGAUUCAAAUCCCACACCACCCUCUUGUUCUCUAUGGCAAACUGAAAAUUUAGUGUAAGCCUUCAAAGUUUCAUUUUAUUCAUUUGUGAAGGUAUCAUAAUUAAUUUAAAUAUCCUUAGUAAGGCAUUCAUAUAUCCCCUUAGAAAUGCUG
ensembl:lincRNA